GGGUUGUGAGGUUAAGCGACUAAGCGUACACGGUGGAUGCCCUGGCAGUCAGAGGCGAUGAAGGGCGUGCUAAUCUGCGAUAAGCGCCGGUAAGGUGAUAUGAACCGUUAUAACCGGCGAUACCCGAAUGGGGAAACCCAGUGUGAUUCGUCACACUAUCAUUAACUGAAUCCAUAGGUUAAUGAGGCGAACCGGGGGAACUGAAACAUCUAAGUACCCCGAGGAAAAGAAAUCAACCGAGAUUCCCCCAGUAGCGGCGAGCGAACGGGGAGGAGCCCAGAGCCUGAAUCAGCAUGUGUGUUAGUGGAAGCGUCUGGAAAGGCGCGCGAUACAGGGUGACAGCCCCGUACACAAAAGCGCAUGUGCUGUGAGCUCGAUGAGUAGGGCGGGACACGUGGUAUCCUGUCUGAAUAUGGGGGGACCAUCCUCCAAGGCUAAAUACUCCUGACUGACCGAUAGUGAACCAGUACCGUGAGGGAAAGGCGAAAAGAACCCCGGCGAGGGGAGUGAAAAAGAACCUGAAACCGUGUACGUACAAGCAGUGGGAGCACCCUUCGGGGUGUGACUGCGUACCUUUUGUAUAAUGGGUCAGCGACUUAUAUUCUGUAGCAAGGUUAACCGAAUAGGGGAGCCGGAGGGAAACCGAGUCUUAAUUGGGCGUUAAGUUGCAGGGUAUAGACCCGAAACCCGGUGAUCUAGCCAUGGGCAGGUUGAAGGUUGGGUAACACUAACUGGAGGACCGAACCGACUAAUGUUGAAAAAUUAGCGGAUGACCUGUGGCUGGGGGUGAAAGGCCAAUCAAACCGGGAGAUAGCUGGUUCUCCCCGAAAGCUAUUUAGGUAGCGCCUCGUGAAUUCAUCUCCGGGGGUAGAGCACUGUUUCGGCUAGGGGGCCAUCCCGGCUUACCAACCCGAUGCAAACUGCGAAUACCGGAGAAUGUUAUCACGGGAGACACACGGCGGGUGCUAACGUCCGUCGUGAAGAGGGAAACAACCCAGACCGCCAGCUAAGGUCCCAAAGUCAUGGUUAAGUGGGAAACGAUGUGGGAAGGCCCAGACAGCCAGGAUGUUGGCUUAGAAGCAGCCAUCAUUUAAAGAAAGCGUAAUAGCUCACUGGUCGAGUCGGCCUGCGCGGAAGAUGUAACGGGGCUAAACCAUGCACCGAAGCUGCGGCAGCGAACGUAUCACCCAAGACAACUUUGCGGAGUUGACGAUUGACGGAGCGAAGCGACGUCAAAGCGUUCAUUAAAGUCGAGUUGGCUUAGGGAUACGUUCGUUGGGUAGGGGAGCGUUCUGUAAGCCUGUGAAGGUGGCCUGUGAGGGUUGCUGGAGGUAUCAGAAGUGCGAAUGCUGACAUAAGUAACGAUAAAGCGGGUGAAAAGCCCGCUCGCCGGAAGACCAAGGGUUCCUGUCCAACGUUAAUCGGGGCAGGGUGAGUCGACCCCUAAGGCGAGGCCGAAAGGCGUAGUCGAUGGGAAACGGGUUAAUAUUCCCGUACUUGGUGUUACUGCGAAGGGGGGACGGAGAAGGCUAUGUUGGCCGGGCGACGGUUGUCCCGGUUUAAGCGUGUAGGUGUGUGUUCCAGGUAAAUCCGGUUCACUUUAACACUGAGGCGUGACGACGAGGCACUACGGUGCUGAAGCAACAAAUGCCCUGCUUCCAGGAAAAGCCUCUAAGCAUCAGGUAACAUCAAAUCGUACCCCAAACCGACACAGGUGGUCAGGUAGAGAAUACCAAGGCGCUUGAGAGAACUCGGGUGAAGGAACUAGGCAAAAUGGUGCCGUAA
rnacentral:rRNA from 1 species